AUUGCCUUAGUAGCGGCGAGUGAAGCGGCAAAAGCUCAAAUUUGAAAUCUGGCGCCUUCGGUGUUCGAGUUGUAAUUUGAAGAUUGUAACCUUGGGGUUGGCUCUUGUCUAUGUUUCUUGGAACAGGACGUCACAGAGGGUGAGAAUCCCGUGCGAUGAGAUGCCCAAUUCUAUGUAAGGUGCUUUCGAAGAGUCGAGUUGUUUGGGAAUGCAGCUCUAAGUGGGUGGUAAAUUCCAUCUAAAGCUAAAUAUUGGCGAGAGACCGAUAGCGAACAAGUACAGUGAUGGAAAGAUGAAAAGAACUUUGAAAAGAGAGUGAAAAAGUACGUGAAAUUGUUGAAAGGGAAGGGUUUGAGAUCAGACUCGAUAUUUUGUGAGCCUUGCCUUCGUGGCGGGGUGACCCGCAGCUUAUCGGGCCAGCAUCGGUUUGGGCGGUAGGAUAAUGGCGUAGGAAUGUGACUUUACUUCGGUGAAGUGUUAUAGCCUGCGUUGAUGCUGCCUGCCUAGACCGAGGACUGCGAUU
rnacentral:rRNA from 1 species